AUCAAUGAGAGAGAAACAAAGGUACAUGCCCUUGACCGGAAUCGAACCUGCGACCCCUCAGUCCCCAGGCCGACUCUCUAUCCACUGAGCCAAACCAGUUAGGCCGAGAGGCCCUUCUUCCUACUGCUUGAUUCACUGUGACUACCGUCCUUCCUUCCUUAAUGUGGGUGUCUGUGGCCUGAAGCCAUAUUCGGCAGAUGCUAGAAGAACGCGUCUGGAAGGCCGCCUGCCUUUCCCCGCUUCUCCUCGAUCGGAAUGGAAGAAAGAAUUCAGAAUGGAUGAGGAUCAGGCUAACCUACGCCAGAAGGCUUCAUCCAUCCAGCUUCUGCCCGAGAGAGGGCCAGGAACCGGAUUCCGGGAGACUGCCUGUCCAGUUCUGCUCCAGAAAUAGGAAAUAAACUAUUUUAAUUUG